UACGUAUGGAGCAAGCGUUAUCCGGAUUUACUGGGCGUAAAGGGAGCGUAGGCGGCCUGCCAAGUCUGAUGUGAAAUACCGGGGCUCAACCCCGGGAGUGCAUUUGAAACUGUCUGGCUAGAGUGCAGGAGAGGUAAGUGGAAUUCCUAGUGUAGCGGUGAAAUGCAUAGAUAUUAGGAGGAACACCAGUGGCGAAGGCGGCUUACUGGACUGUAACUGACACUGAGGCUCGAAAGCGUGGGGAGCAAACAGG
rnacentral:rRNA from 1 species